rnacentral:rRNA from 1 species
UACGUAGGGGGCUAGCGUUGUCCGGAUUUAUUGGGCGUAAAGAGCGAGUAGGCGGCCGAGUAAGUCCGACGUGAAAUCUGGAGGCUCAACCUCCAGCGGUCGUUGGAAACUACUCGGCUAGAGUCCGGAAGAGGAGAGUGGAAUUCCUGGUGUAGCGGUGAAAUGCGCAGAUAUCAGGAAGAACACCGAUGGCGAAAGCAGCUCUCUGGGCCGGUACUGACGCUGAGGCGCGAAAGCGUGGGGAGCGAACAGG